CCGUCGUUUUUCCGCUAAUGGAAAGCUAUAAAUAGCAGCACCCGCAAUCAAAGCUCCGAAGCUUCGAGAAUCGUUUUCACCUGCGGCCGGAUCAUCGGUCGGAAUCGCCGAUAACCGCGCGCGCUAGGGUUUCCCGGCGGAGCUGAAGAUGGACCUGCCUCCGUCGACGAGCCGUAGCUGUUCUCCGGGAGCGGCGGCGGCGACGUCGAUCACCGACGUGGACGUCGACGCGCUGGCCCGCUGUGCGGAUUACUUGACGCUGCGGGAGGUGUCGAGCAUGGCAAUGUCCUGCAAAUUCCUCAAGCGCGUCGCUUACUCCGAUUCCGUCUGGCACCGACUGUAUAGGGAGAAGUGGCCUCGACAAGUGUCUACCAGCUUUACAACAGGGGUUAGAAGAGCAUAUUUUGACAGACUUUCUGCACUGCAGCAGUUUAAAUUUGUUGAUCCCUUGGUUAUUGACUACUUUACAGAGGCUACAUUCAAUAAUAUCUUAUUGGAGAAGAACAACGUGGUUCUUGCUCGGGGUCCAACCUUACGAUUUAUGAAGUUCGAUAGCUCUCUCGGUCGAUGGGAAUCCGUUAUUGCACUAAACGAUCACAAUGCGAGAGUUACUUGUAUGAGACUUUUUCCCCUUAGCGUAAUUUCUUCAUCCCGAGGUGAGAUGGAGAGUCAGGAAAAUGCACUGGUGACAUCAAGCUGUGAUCGUUCCAUUCGGCUAUGGUGGAAGGGUGCAUGCCAACGGUGUUUUAGAGGUCACAGUGGCCCAGUUUUCACCCUGUCAGAUAAAUUAAUAGGUGAAGGGAAGGGUAGAGUAUUGGCAAGCGGAGGUGAGGAUGGCACUGUUCGGCUUUGGUCCCUUUCAAGUGCGAAACGCGGACAACAAGCUUUAAAGACCACCUUUUACGGGCAUGAGAAGCCAGUCAAGUUUGUUGCAGUUGCUGGGCACAGUACUUCUCUUUUGGUGUCUAUUUCAAGAGAUUCUAAGAUAAGAGUUUGGGAUGCAAAUGCAUCAUCUGCCGUUCGUUCAUCAUGCUGCGUUGGAAUGGCUUCGGUUUCUGGUGCACCUGUAAACAUGAAGUGCCAUGAAUCGCUGCUCUAUGUGGCUGCUGGUUCGGGUGUUGCCAUUAUAGACUUAAGGACAAUGCAAAGAGUUAUUACUGCAGCAACAUCCCAAACAAGCUUGUAUUCAUUUGAAAUUAUUCCUUCGAAGUCAUUAAUCUGUACGGGUGAGACUGGCAGGGCGAUGCUUUGGGAUGUCAGAAAGAACCAGGGCCAAAGUAAAUUGGUGCCAAUAGCUGAGCUGGAUGGGCAUUCAGGUCCUGUGGCGCAUUUGCAUAUGGAUUCAUACAAAAUAGUUACAGGGAGCCCUGGAGAUGAUCAUGUUAAUGUUUGGGAAGCUGAAACUGGAAAUUUAGUGAACUCCUUGAUUUGUUGUAGCCCAGAAGCAGUGGGUUCCACCUUUGGAUGUUCGGCCAUUGCUGUAGAUGGUUGCCGGAUCGUUACUGCUGCUUGUGGCCUUGAACAUGGACUUGUGCGCUUGAGGGACUUCACAUCUGCAGACCACCCGGUUUCACAAUACGAGGAUGAGCGGACAUUCAAAUUUUGGCAGCCAAAUUCCUAUUCGGAUGAUGAUGCCUGAAGUGGUUCGCAGUGUCAUGGAGAAAUAUACUCCAUAUCAGCCCAUUUUCUGCAAGUUUAUUAUGGAGAAAGCCAGAUGCUGGACAAGGCAUUUUGUGAAGAGGAAGUGAAAAGGCUGUGCCUUGCCUUUAGCCUUCGAGCAGCAGUUUCGUUAUGGCGUGUUCUUUCGCAUAUAUGAGGCUGAGGGAGCAGGAGAUAAGUAACCUGGUGUGGAUAUCCGAAUGCUGUGUCAUCAGGGCUCCAUUUUUUUUAUUUUUUUUUC